rnacentral:rRNA from 1 species
AUCCCGUGAACCAUCGAGUUUUUGAACGCAAGUUGCGCCCGAAGCCUUCGGGCCGAGGGCACGCCUGCCUGGGCGCCCCGCAUCGCGUCGCCCCCCUCCCCCCUCCAGCGGAGAAAAAAGAGGCGGGGGCGGAGACUGGCCUCCCGUGCGCCCCGUCGCGCGGCCGGCCC